rnacentral:rRNA from 1 species
CAGAGGGGGCAAGCGUUGUUCGGAAUUACUGGGCGUAAAGGGCGCGUAGGCGGCCUUCUAAGUCGAACGUGAAAUCCCCGGGCUCAACCCGGGAACUGCGUCCGAUACUGGAAGGCUUGAAUCCGGGAGAGGGAUGCGGAAUUCCAGGUGUAGCGGUGAAAUGCGUAGAUAUCUGGAGGAACACCGGUGGCGAAGGCGGCAUCCUGGACCGGCAUUGACGCUGAGGCGCGAAAGCUAGGGGAGCAAACGGGAUUAGAUACCCCGGUAGUCCUAGCCCUAAACGAUGAAUGCUUGGUGUGGCGGGUAUCGAUCCCUGCCGCGCCGAAGCUAACGCAUUAAGCAUUCCGCCUGGGGAGUACGGUCGCAAGGCUG